AUUGAACGCUGGCGGCAGGCCUAACACAUGCAAGUCGAACGAGUGGCGGACGGGUGAGUAAUGUCUGGGAAACUGCCCGAUGGAGGGGGAUAACUACUGGAAACGGUAGCUAAUACCGCAUACCAUCGGAUGUGCCCCGAGGGGAUUAGCGAGAGGCGGGGGUAACGGCUCACCGAGGCGACGAUCCCUAGCUGGGCUGAGAGGAUGACCAGCCAAACGGGAACGGAGAACCGGUACAGACUCCUACGGGAGGAAGAAGGGGGGAAGAUUGCACAAUGGGAGAAAGGCUGAUGCAGCCAGGCCGCGUGUAUGAAGAAGGCCUUCGGGUUGUAAAGUACUUUCAGCGAGGAGGCGUUACUCGCAGAAGAAGCACCGGCUAACUCCGUGCCAGCCGCCGCGGUAAUAC
rnacentral:rRNA from 1 species